rnacentral:tRNA from 1 species
GGGGAUUUAGCUCAGUGGCAUAAGUGCCUGACUUGCAAGCAGGAAGUCGUGAGUUCAAUCCCUG